CUCAAUCUGCUUCUUCUUCUUUGUCGCCCAAUUUCGGUUUCACCUUCUUCAAACCAAACCAAGCCAUAUCUGACGGUGAUGACAACAAUCUGCAACGACUUUUGAGUAGCUAAGCUUCUUCUUAAAGCAGCUUGCCUCCCACAACAAGUUUCAUUUGCGUGACUAAGAUCAUCAAUGGCAUCUGACUGACCAGUUGAGGAAAAUUCAGAUAGUGAACGAUACCAAUAAGGAUUUUGUUGUCGAGGCACUGAGAUCAAUUGCGGAGAUACUAACCUAUGGCGAUCACCAUGAUCCCUCAUUCUUUGACUGCAGGUUUUUUUGGAUAAGCAAGUCAUGGGAGAGUUUAUACGUAUUUUGAGGGUUAGCAAAACAGUAACAGUUUCUGUUCAGUUGUUGCAAAUCAUAGACUACUUGUUUAGUAACAAAUAUGUAAACUAUUUGUUGUCAUCGCCGUCAGACAUGGCUUGAUUUGGUUUGAAGAAGGUGAAACCGAAAUUGGGCGCCGAAGAAGAAGAAGCCGAUGGAGAUCACAUUCUAAUCCUUUUCUAACGGCGACGUCUUUUUUUUUUUCAAUUUUAGCUAUUUUCCUUUUUUUGUUAGUUUUAAUUUUUUCCUUAUUUACUAAUCCUCAAUUUAAUUGCUGUUAAUAAUAGGGGUGAAUUUGAGAGUUCACCACAGGGGUUGAACCUAAGUUUGUCCUUCUAAAACGACUUAUAUUAAAAACCAGAGGGAGUAUCUAUUUAUAUAUAAUAGUGUUUUGCUCUCUCCUGGUGAAGCCACCUAGGAUUCCAGGUUUCAUGUUUGGGCUUUCUGUUUACUCAGAAAUUUGAGCCCAAAAGCGACCAAACCCUUAUCGUCUUCCUCGACUUGACUGCAAAUUUUAGAGUUCAUCCUCUUCUUCAAUCUCCGACAACACGUUAUAUACAAUAGUGUUUUGCUCCCUCCUGGUGAAGCCACCUAGGAUUCCAGGUUUCAUGUUUAGGCUUUCUGUUUACUCAGAAAUUUAAGCCCAAAAGCGACCAAACCCUUAUCGUCUUCCUCGACUUGAUGGCAAAUUUUAGAGUUCAUCCUCUUCUUCAAUCUCCGACAACACGUAAAAUAACAUGUAACCCUGUUCUAAUCCUCCGUUAACACGUAACCCUAAUCUGUUUGGCUCAUCAACAUCUUCUCCAACCUCCAACCGACGUUGCAAGCGGAGCAAGCGGUAGAGAGCAACGGAGCAAGAGGCGAGAGCGACGGAGCAAGCUGCGAGAGAGACGGGGCAAACGGCGAGAGCGACGGAGCAAGCGGCGAGAGCGACGGAGCAAGUGACGGGCAGAUCAAGAUGGAUAGCCAUGGAACAAGAAACAGAGAGUGUGAAGAGAGAGAUAUCAAAAGAAAUUGCUACAGUUCAAGCUCUCACAUGGGAGGUCGAUAGGCUCUCACACAUGGCUCGUACUUUCGAAGUUUUUGUAAAUGGAGAUAUGGAGGUUGCGGUGGAAGAGGCUGACAUGACUGCAUCGCUUCUCAUGAGGUUGUUGCUCAAAUUCAAUGGCAUCAAAGCAGAAGGGAAAUCUAGAGUACAAUGAUAACGCAGAGGUUAAUGUUUCAUCUCAUGCAUUCUUCAUUUGUCUGCAUCAACUAUGUUUACACAAUAAGAAUGUCAACAACAAUGGUAAAUGACAUGAAUCAGGUAGUUAUGACUAAUGAGUUCUGAGGCUUUCGAUGAGUUGCAAUGAUAUGAUCAGUGACUUUGGUAGAUAUACAUUGAGAUUAUGUUAAGUGAUCAUUUGUUUGUAUGAAUUAGUGGAAUGGGGACCAAAGGAUCCAAAUCUAUCAGCUAAAAACUUGCAUGUGUUUCCCUAUCUCUAUAUAUAGAUAUGAAUUGUCAAGGAUUAACCUCAACUUUAAGAUUGUUCUUAAUUUAUUUUCUCUUAAGUGACUGGAGAAGUAUGAGGACUACUUGAAGCUCAGAUCAAGAGUUGAGAUCCUACCACAUUCACAACAGCAAAUGAUUACUUCAAAAAUUUAGUAAUCAGUUUUGGACAUAAAAAACAUAGCUUGCAGUUUUACUUAUGCGUUCAAGUGGUGUGCAUAAGACCAUUCAUGAAGGCAUUAACCUUAGAGGUGACAAUGUAUAUUAAUUGCUAAGGCUGGUGCUCUAAUGUUUGCUGAUUAUGGAAUAUGUUGCGUUCACGUGUUUGACGAUAUGGAUAUCAAAAAUCAGGAGAAAGAAUAGAUGGAGAUGCUUGUGUUCCAACUUCUCACCAACACAGCUUUUGCGAGACAAAUAAAAAACACAUGUUCUAUAAGACAUAGGGGGCCAGUCUCAACGGACAUUCUUGAAGCUUGGCCAUCACCUCUGGAAAGAUUCUUAAACAGAGACUAGACAUGUUGCUUAUGCAUGUCUGAAUCUGGAAACUCAGCUAGAAGCAACGCAUCAGCAACACGGGCGAUCAAUGUCAUCUUCACCAUCCUGGCUUAUUCCUUCUUCAUUAACAAACUCACUGAAAUUAUCAUAAAGUGAUCAAGUGUCUUUGAAUUCAAGUGCUUCGGACAGAAGUAAAUAUCUCCACUUUCCAAAGAAUUAUAUGAAUCUAAAUGUAGGGGAGGCAACUGAGCUACGGAUUCAUACUCAGUUGUUUGAGAACAUAUGGAGUGUUUGUUAUAUUUCUGUUUUGUCCAC